AAAUAACGUCUCAGUUCGGACUGCAGUCUGCAACUCGACUGCACGAAGCUGGAAUCGCUAGUAAUCGCGAAUCAGAAUGUCGCGGUGAAUACGUUCCCGGGUCUUGUACACACCGCCCGUCACACCAUGGGAGUUGGUAAUGCCCGAAGUCAGUGACCCAACCGCAAGGAGGGAGCUGCCGAAGGCAGGAUCGAUAACUGGGGUGAAGUCGUAACAAGGUAGCCGUAUCGGAAGGUGCGGCUGGAUCACCUCCUUUCUAAGGAA
rnacentral:rRNA from 1 species